rnacentral:rRNA from 1 species
AACGAACGCUGGCGGCAGGCUUAACACAUGCAAGUCGAGCGCCCUUUUCGGAGGGAGCGGCAGACGGGUGAGUAACACGUGGGAAUCUACCCAUCACUACGGAACAACUCCGGGAAACUGGAGCUAAUACCGUAUACGUCCUUCGGGAGAAAGAUUUAUCGGUGAUGGAUGAGCCCGCGUUGGAUUAGCUAGUUGGUGGGGUAAAGGCCUACCAAGGCGACGAUCCAUGGCUGGUCUGAGAGGAUGAUCAGCCACACUGGGACUGAGACACGGCCCAGACUCCUACGGGAGGCAGCAGUGGGGAAUAUUGGACAAUGGGCGCAAGCCUGAUCCAGCCAUGCCGCGUGAGUGAUGAAGGCCCUAGGGUUGUAAAGCUCUUUCACCGGUGAAGAUAAUGACGGUAACCGGAGAAGAAGCCCCGGCUAACUUCGUGCCAGCCGCCGCGGUAAGAC